GACGAACGCUGGCGGCGUGCUUAACACAUGCAAGUCGAACGGAAAGGCCCUGCUUUUGUGGGGUGCUCGAGUGGCGAACGGGUGAGUAACACGUGAGUAAACUGCCCUUGACUUUGGGAUAACUUCAGGAAACUGGGGCUAAUACCGGAUAGGAGCUCCUGCUGCAUGGUGGGGGUUGGAAAGUUUCGGCGGUUGGGGAUGGACUCGCGGCUUAUCAGCUUGUUGGUGGAGUAGUGGCUUACCAAGGCUUUGACGGGUAGCCGGCCUGAGAGGGUGACCGGCCACAUUGGGACUGAGGUACGGCCCAGACUCCGACGGGAGGCAGCAGGGGGGAAGAUUGCACAAUGGGCGGAAGCCUGAUGCAGCAACGCCGCGUGCGGGAUGACGGCCUUCGGGUUGUAAACCGCUUUCGCCUGUGACGAAGCGUGAGUGACGGUAAUGGGUAAAGAAGCACCGGCUAACUACGUG
rnacentral:rRNA from 1 species